rnacentral:lncRNA from 1 species
CCCAAACACACAUUGCUUCUCUCGUCUGGCCUCCCAUGAUCAUCUCCAAGCAUUCCGGAUUAUAUUUUUCGGAGACGCAAGAGCAGAGUUCAGACGAAUCAAUCAUUCGCUGCAGUUUUUGGCCUCUGAAAUUCAUGUUGUUUUCUCCUCCUCUGUUUCUGGAAUCAUUUUUUCUUGAGAAGGGUUUUUUCUUACCCGACCUCUACAUCCAACCGGAUAAAAUGCGGUAUUUUUUACAUUAGAAACUAUUUUACAUUAGAAACUUAGCCCUUAAAAUUGCCUAAUUUGAAAUUCGUUUCUACGUUGAUUUAAACUGAAGACCUUAUGUUGAUUUAAACUCAAGACCUUAAAGUGCUAUUCACGUUAAUGCAACUACUAGACUACAUGCCCUUUUACAAAUUCGUUUCUUGAAACAAAUUUUGUGAAAUAUUCUGACAAGAAUUCAACUAGCAUUUUCAAACUGUAAAAGGAAAUCCAGGGAUUGGGAUCAUCUGACGUGAAGUCGAGGAACAUGGUGACUGACAUAUAGGCCCCACCUCUCGCGGACCUACCUAUCAGUGACCACGUCAGAGGAAGUUCACGUCGGAGGAUCCUCUUCCGAAAUCCAGUCCAUCUCAAAAAUGAUCUGAAUUCGAUGACCUGUUCAUGUUGGGGAGGUCAUGGUAAGGGUAUGAACAACUGUAAACCUGUCAAACAAAACAAACUAAGCACACUUGUUUUCGCUUUCAGAGCUUAUGUGAGCUUGAUGCCGAUGGAAAUUAGGUGUGCCCCGAGGUUUCCAUGGGCAGGUUUUGAUGACGCUAAUCUUAUAAUCCAAAAACAAAACCAGAACAUC